AGAGUUUGAUCCUGGCUCAGGACGAACGCUAGCUACAGGCUUAACACAUGCAAGUCGAGGGGCAGCAUGGUCUUAGCUUGCUAAGGCCGAUGGCGACCGGCGCACGGGUGAGUAACGCGUAUCCAACCUGCCUUACACUCUUGGACAGCCUUCUGAAAGGGAGAUUAAUACAAGAUGUUAUCAUGAGUAAGCAUUUUCGCAUGAUUAAAGGUUUACCGGUGUAAGAUGGAGAUGCGUUCCAUUAGAUAGUAGGCGGGGUAACGGCCACCUAGUCUUCGAUGGAUAGGGGUUCUGAGGAGGAAGGUCCCCCACGAUUGGAACUGGAGACAUGGUCCAACUCCUACGGGAGCA
rnacentral:rRNA from 1 species